rnacentral:rRNA from 1 species
AUGAACGCUGGCGGCGUGCUUAACACAUGCAAGUCGAACGAUGAAGCCCAGCUUGCUGGGUGGAUUAGUGGCGAACGGGUGAGUAACACGUGAGUAACCUGCCCUUAACUCUGGGAUAAGCCUGGGAAACUGGGUCUAAUACCGGAUAGGAGCGUCCACCGCAUGGUGGGUGUUGGAAAGAUUUAUCGGUUUUGGAUGGACUCGCGGCCUAUCAGCUUGUUGGUGAGGUAAUGGCUCACCAAGGCGACGACGGGUAGCCGGCCUGAGAGGGUGACCGGCCACACUGGGACUGAGACACGGCCCAGACUCCUACGGGAGGCAGCCGUGGGGAAUAUUGCACAAUGGGCGCAAGCCUGAUGCAGCGACGCCGCGUGAGGGAUGACGGCCUUCGGGUUGUAAACCUCUUUCAGUAGGGAAGAAGCGAAAGUGACGGUACCUGCAGAAGAAGCACCGGCUAACUACGUG